rnacentral:rRNA from 1 species
CAGUCGCCGCGGUAAUACGAAGGGGGCUAGCGUUGCUCGGAAUGACUGGGCGUAAAGGGCGCGUAGGCGGAUGGCACAGUCAGAUGUGAAAUUCCCGGGCUUAACCUGGGGGCUGCAUUUGAUACGUGUUGUCUAGAGUGAGGAAGGGGGUCGUGGAAUUCCCAGUGUAGAGGUGAAAUUCGUAGAUAUUGGGAAGAACACCGGUGGCGAAGGCGGCGACCUGGUCCUUGACUGACGCUGAGGCGCGAAAGCGUGGGGAGCAAACAGGAUUAGAUACCCCAGUAGUCCCUGUCUCUUAUAC